CACCAGCACACUUAGUCAUCUCCUUGCUUCUGCUUGCUAGUGCUUUGUCCAUAUUUGACCAUAGAUCUGGUGUAAAAUUAUUUUUCACCUGUCUAGCUCUAGACCAUAGACUCUGAGGGCUAUGUCUUAUUCAUCAUUAUAUUUGCAGUGACCAGCAUGGAUCUGCUAGAAAUUCAAUAAAAUGAUAGAGAAGGUUUUGUCUCCUGGGAUAGUUUCAACUUAUUAAAAUUAUGACUAUGACACCAGCCAAUUUAAUUUACAUGUACACACUGAAGAUAUUAUUCUUCAGCAGAUACAAGUUAUGGGACUACUGUUUAAGGCGUUCGGGGUGCUUUUUAUGAGAACGUGGGUAUCCAGCCACUUAUAUGAAAUGUCACACUCAU
rnacentral:lncRNA from 1 species